GAACUGCGAUACGUAAUGUGAAUUGCAGAAUUCAGUGAAUCAUCGAAUCUUUGAACGCAUCUUGCGCCGCUCGGUUUUCCGAGGGGCACGUCUGUUUGAGUGUCACGUUAAUCUAUCACCCACCUUUUGGUGAAGUGGACUUGGACUGUGCUGUCAUUUAUUUGACGGCUCGUCUCGAAAUGCAUUGUUGCCUGCAGAGUCUUGCGCGGAGCGAGACUGAUGAAACGGUGUGAUAUUUAUAUCUGCGCUGAAGUAGUCGGUUUUGAGCUGCUGCACCAGGAGCACUCUGGGCUUAUAAAGUCGAGGAUUUUAAUUAAUCCCCAAUUUCUUUGCGUUUGACCUCAAAUCAGAUGGGACUACCCGCUGAACUUAA
rnacentral:misc_RNA from 1 species